CAUAUACUCCCUCCGUCCCAAAAUUCUUGUCUUUGAUUUGUCUAGAUACGGAUGUAUCUAAAUACUAAAACAUGACUUGAUACACCCGUAUUUAGACAAAUCUAAGACAAGAAUUUUGGGAUGGAGGGAGUAUAAG
rfam:Triticum aestivum genome assembly, contig: Triticum_aestivum_CS42_TGACv1_scaffold_148492_2BS